AGCGAACGCUGGCGGCAGGCUUAACACAUGCAAGUCGAGCGCCCCGCAAGGGGAGCGGCAGACGGGUGAGUAACACGUGGGAACGUACCCUUCAGUUCGGAACAACCCAGGGAAACUUGGGCUAAUACCGGAUACGUCCGUAAGGAGAAAGAUUUAUCGCUGAAGGAUCGGCCCGCGUCUGAUUAGCUAGUUGGUGAGGUAAUGGCUCACCAAGGCUACGAUCAGUAGCUGGUCUGAGAGGAUGAUCAGCCACAUUGGGACUGAGACACGGCCCAAACUCCUACGGGAGGCAGCAGUGGGGAAUAUUGGACAAUGGGGGCAACCCUGAUCCAGCCAUGCCGCGUGAGUGAUGAAGGCCCUAGGGUUGUAAAGCUCUUUUAGCAGGGAAGAUAAUGACGGUACCUGCAGAAAAAGCCCCGGCUAACUUCGUGCCAGCAGCCGCCGUAAGAC
rnacentral:rRNA from 1 species